rnacentral:rRNA from 1 species
AACGAACGCUGGCGGCAGGCCUAACACAUGCAAGUCGAGCGAAGCCUUCGGGCUUAGCGGCGGACGGGUGAGUAACGCGUGGGAACGUGCCCUUUGGUACGGAAUAGCCCCGGGAAACUGGGAGUAAUACCGUAUGUGCCCUUCGGGGGAAAGAUUUAUCGCCAAAGGAUCGGCCCGCGUUGGAUUAGGUAGUUGGUGGGGUAAUGGCCUACCAAGCCUGCGAUCGGUAGCUGGUCUGAGAGGAUGAUCAGCCACACUGGAACUGAGACACGGCCCAGACUCCUACGGGAGGCAGCAGUGGGGAAUAUUGGACAAUGGGGGAAACCCUGAUCUAGCCAUGCCGCGUGAUCGAUGAAGGCCUUAGGGUUGUAAAGAUCUUUCAGUGGGGAAGAUAAUGACUGUACCCACAGAAGAAGCCCCGGCUAACUCCGUGCCAGCCGCCGCAGUAACAC